GACGAACGCUGGCGGCGUGCUUAACACAUGCAAGUCGAACGGAAAGGCCCUGCUUUUGUGGGGUGCUCGAGUGGCGAACGGGUGAGUAACACGUGAGUAACCUGCCCUUGACUUUGGGAUAACUUCAGGAAACUGGGGCUAAUACCGGAUAGGAGCUCCUGCUGCAUGGUGGGGGUUGGAAAGUUUCGGCGGUUGGGGAUGGACUCGCGGCUUAUCAGCUUGUUGGUGGGGUAGUGGCUUACCAAGGCUUUGACGGGUAGCCGGCCUGAGAGGGUGACCGGCCCCAUUGGGCCUGGGAUACGGCCCAGCCUCCUACGGGAGGCAGCGGUGGGGAAUAUUGCACAAUGGGCGGAAGCCUGAUGCAGCCACGCCGCGUGCGGGAUGACGGCCUUCGGGUUGUAAACCACUUUCGCCUGUGACGAAGCGUGAGUGACGGUAAUGGGUAAAGAAGCACCGGCUAACUACGUG
rnacentral:rRNA from 1 species